UUGGACCUGAUAUCAGACAAGAUUACCCGCUGAACUUAAGCAUAUCAAUAAGCGGAGGAAAAGAAACUAACAAGGAUUCCCCUAGUAACGGCGAGUGAAGCGGGAAGAGCUCAAGCUUAAAAUCUCUGUGCAAGUUUUGCAUGGCGAAUUGUAGUCUAUGGAUGCGUUAUCAGUACAGCCGCGCGGGCCAAGUUCCUGGAAGAGGACAGCAUGGAGGGUGAUACUCCCGUUCCUGCCUGUGCGUGUGUGCGUACGAUACUC
rnacentral:rRNA from 1 species